rnacentral:rRNA from 1 species
GAUGAACGCUGGCGGUAUGCUUAACACAUGCAAGUCGAACGGACUCUUCGGAGUUAGUGGCGGACGGGUGAGUAACGCGUGAGAAUCUGGCUUUGGGUUCGGGACAACCACUGGAAACGGUGGCUAAUACCGGAUGUGCCGAGAGGUAAAAGAGAAAUUGCCUGAAGAUGAGCUCGCGUCUGAUUAGCUAGUUGGUGAGGUAAAGGCUCACCAAGGCAGCGAUCAGUAGCUGGUCUGAGAGGAUGACCAGCCACACUGGGACUGAGACACGGCCCAGACUCCUACGGGAGACAGCAGUGGGGAAUUAUCCGCAAUGGGCGAAAGCCUGACGGAGCAAUACCGCGUGAGGGAAGAAGGCUCUUGGGUUGUAAACCUCUUUUCUUAGGGAAGAACAAAAUGACGGUACCUAAGGAAUCAGCACCGGCUAACUCCGUG